GAAGGACAAGAGCUAACACUGGAUAAAAUGCAAGUCCAUCACAAGGUAAUGUUGACAUAAGUAAUUAAACACCCCCUACUAGCCUUCGCUUCAUCGUCAUAUUCACAGACCACCAGAAGAGAAAACCAACUAGAGCUCCACCCACUUCCUCUGCCAGCUCAUGCCCUCCCACUGACCUUAUUUCCACCAAGGACCCGCCU